UGAGUUUUCCUUGCUUGUCUCUCGGGGUCACAAACGAGCUCCUGGUAGCUCUCAUAAUAUGAUCACACCCUGGGUAAAGUCCCCGGGCCUAGGAUAGAAAGUAUCAAGGCGUAAACGAGAAAAGUAUUUGUUCGCCGGACAACGGUUGCGCAAAUAUUAUAUAUACGCCUAUAUUUCGCGGUAUUUCGCCAUGCGUACUCCAAUGAAGAGAGACCCGCUCCAAGGGACUCGAAUUGUUGCGCUCGGUUGACUGCGGAAAUGUGCCAGAGAUAUUUAAGAUAUGGACGAGUGGGCGGGGGAAGAGGGGGGCGUAUCACAACGCCUAUCCUCCUCCCCCGUCUACACGGAAUGGGGCUUACGUAGGGAAAUUC
rnacentral:RNase_MRP_RNA from 1 species